rnacentral:lncRNA from 1 species
UAAGAGAUAGAGAAUAGAGAUUUCUGAAAUGGUUGAGAAUUCUACAAAAAUUCCAUUGUUUCAUGGAGUGAUUCUUUGUGAUUUCUUAGAUCAACUUCUGAAGUGCAUACUGAUUUAUUUGGGAGCUGGAAUUGGUUAGUUAUUUGAAAUGUUAAGAGGUCAGAUUUCAGAAAUACAAAGGGCAAAGAAAACUUCUACUAAUGAGUUUCUUUGAUAUACUAAUUCUUUUAAAAUAUGAAAACAGUAGUUCUUCAUUGUAAAAAGUAAAAAAAAUGAUUUGACUUUGGUUUUAAAACGUGGUUCCAAGUCUGAUGUUUUGUUCGAGUGAAAUUCUUUCUUUUCGGUUGUUGUGUAUCAAUCAUGGGCUUGAAGCUGGGGUUUCGCUGAUAUUUCUGUUGACUGAUUGUUGUUGUUGCUGUGAUUGACUCAUUACCUCAUUUUCUCUGUUCCUCCCCUAUCCAGGUACAUACUGUAAAGCUUUACUGCUUGUGAAAUGUUGGAUUUAAAGAAUAAAAAGAGAAUAACGGUUUGAAAGCAUAAUUUUAGUUGUUUCUGAUUCAAUCUUGUAUUAUUCUGAAUUUCUUUUCUUACUUGGUAUGCCACACUGUUAGUUGAUCCCUGUGUUAAGUAAACAAGUUCUUUUUGUAAUUGAUCUGGGACUAUUGUAAAACUAAAAGGACAGUUUAUUAUAUAACUUUAAGUCAUACAUGCAUGCUUGAGAAAUGUGGGAAUUGUAAAUGGUUUUUGGAUUUAGCUGCUAGGGUGUGCUUUAGUUUGGCAAUAUGUUACUCAUGUUCAAUUGAUCAUGUGUUCACCCAUUGGUUCUGAUGAAAGUAUUUUUGGACUUCUGAGAAUUAUAAUUGUGAUUAAAGAGAAAUGAUCCAUAGUAUUUCAAAUAAUAGAUUUAGUUCAUUUUGAUUUGAUUAUGAGCAUGAGCAAAUUGGGACUCGUGGGUUGUAAUGUUCAUGUAAUGGUUUUAAACGUGGAAAACAAAGUUAAAUCUCAUUUUUGUGUGGUCCAAUUGAAAUGUAAGUAGUAAUGGGCCUGCAGACUUGUUCCUAAGGAUUGGGCUAGAGACUGAUCCGAUUACUGAAAUCAAAGGGCUAGGUUUACUGGGGUGUUCAGUUUGUUAGCAAAAGCUGGGAUCACUUUGGCUCCUAUAUAGGGGUGUACAAAGAAAAUCGACAAACUGCACCAACCCGAUAAUUCGAAUCAAACCGAGGAAAAAAUCCGGCCAUGGUUUGGUUUGAUUUGGUUUGGUGUUGGGAAAAAAACCCCGAUCAUAAUUGGUUUGGUUUGGUUUUAACUAAAGAAAGUCAAACCGAAACCAAACCAACCUAACAUUACAUAUAUAUAACUUUUAGAUAUAUUUUAUAUAUAAUAUACUUAUUGUGAUGUAAUUUAUAAAUAUUUCUUUAAAAAAUUUAUAAUUUUAUCUUUUAAAGUAUUAUUUCAAGAUUGGACUUAGAACUUUUUGAAUGUUCCAAUAAGUUUUAUAGCCGUUAACAUUAGUAAAUUAAAUAAUGCUAACAAAAGCCAAAUUAAAACCAAAAUCAAAUCAAUAUUAAUGCUAACAAAAGAC